CUAAAAAUGAUUAGCAUUUAAUACUAAGGUUUUUUUUCCCCAGAGAUUCCAGACAUUUUGGAAAAUCUGAAAAAAAUUGUAACAAAAGCCACGUUUAUCAAUGAUGAAGCCAAAAGAGUGUCACCAUCAAGUGGUUCUGACAGCCCCACACCAAAUUGUUCUGACUCUGACAAAGAAGCACCAAAACAGGUGGAAAUAUUCCCAGGCACGGGAGUUUAUAUUGACAAACUGUCCUGGAUCCUUGCAGAGAGGUGCAGCACGAAUACAUCAUAUGUAAGAACCCUGACGGUUGCUGUCUUUGACAUUCCAACAUUACUAAAGAGCAAUCUUCGUGGUGGUGGCAGCAAGAGAGAUCCAACUUCGGAGAAAAAGACACCUCUGGAUCACUUAAAGGUGGAAGCCAUAUAUGUGUUUUUUAGGGGCUACCUUGAAAAAGUUUCCCUGUACCCCAAAGAGUGUAAUUGGUGGUGCAAUUAACAGCAAGAUAAAUGAACUACGACAGAAUGAAACCAGAGUGAAGAUUUGAAGGACCAGAUCUGUAUUUGUUUUGUUUUCAACAGGGUUGGGGUCAAUUCCAAUUCCAUUUUAAUUCCCUUUUCAAUUCAAUUCCAAUAAAGCCUAUUCUGUGAAUGCAAAAAGGAAUUGUAAUUUGGAAUUGAUUUGAAGGAGGAAUUGGAAUUGAAAAACAGGAAUUGACCCCAACCAUGGUUUUCAGUGAGUGUUGUACAAAUUGAUAUGUCAGGGCUUCUGUAAAAACUUUUUUUUUGUUUGUUUUUUAAGACAAGCAAUUUUUUGGCUGUUAUC